rnacentral:rRNA from 1 species
GUAGGUGGCAAGCGUUGUCCGGAAUUAUUGGGCGUAAAGCGCGCGCAGGCGGUUCUUUAAGUCUGAUGUGAAAGCCCACGGCUCAACCGUGGAGGGUCAUGGAAACUGGGGAACUUGAGUACAGAAGAGGAAAGCGGAAUUCCACGUGUAGCGGUGAAAUGCGUAGAGAUGUGGAGGAACACCAGUGGCGAAGGCGGCUUUCUGGUCUGUAACUGACGCUGAGGCGCGAAAGCGUGGGGAGCAAACAGGAUUAGAUACCCUGGUAGUCCACGCCGUAAACGAUGAGUGCUAAGUGUUAGGGGGUUUCCCGCCCCUUAGUGCUGCAGCUAACGCAUUAAGCACUCCGCCUGGGGAGUACGGCCGCAAGGCUG